rnacentral:rRNA from 1 species
ACAGCAGUCGCCACGGGAAUACGUAGGGUGCAAGCGUUAAUCGGAAUUACUGGGCGUAAAGCGUGCGCAGGCGGUUAUAUAAGUCAGAUGUGAAAUCCCCGGGCUUAACCUGGGAACUGCAUUUGAGACUGUAUGGCUAGAGUGUGUCAGAGGGGGGUAGAAUUCCACGUGUAGCAGUGAAAUGCGUAGAUAUGUGGAGGAAUACCGAUGGCGAAGACAGCCCCCUGGGAUAACACUGACGCUCAUGCACGAAAGCGUGGGGAGCAAACAGGAUUAGAUACCCCUGUAGUCCCUGUCUCUUAUAC